AACGAACGCUGGCGGCAGGCCUAACACAUGCAAGUCGAACGGUUGUAGCAAUACAGCCGUGGCGCACGGGUGAGUAACGCGUGGGAAUCUGCCCAGUAGUACGGAAUAACAGUUGGAAACGACUGACAAUACCGUAUACGCCCUUCGGGGGAGAGUUUUUCGCUAUUGGAUGAGCCCGCGUCAGAUUAGCUAGUGGGUGGGGUAAUGGCCUACCAAGGCGACGAUCUGUAGCUGUUCUGAGAGGAAGACCAGCCACACUGGAACUGAGACACGGUCCAGACUCCUACGGAAGGCAGCAGUGGGGAAUAUUGGACAAUGCGCGAAAGCCUGCUCCAGCCAUGCCGCGUGGGUGAUGAAGGCCUUAGGGUUGUAAAGCUCUUUUGGCGGGGAAGUUAAUGACGGUACCCGCAGAAUAAGUUCCGGCUAACUUCGUGCCAGCCGCCGCCGUAA
rnacentral:rRNA from 1 species